UACAGAGGGUGCAAGCGUUGUUCGGAAUUAUUGGGCGUAAAGGGCGCGUAGGCGGUUCGGCAAGUCUCUAGUGAAAUCUCUGGGCUCAACUCAGAGUCUGCUGGGGAAACUGCCGGGCUUGAGUGUGGGAGAGGAGACUGGAAUUUACGGUGUAGCGGUGAAAUGCGUAGAUAUCGUAAGGAAGACCAGUGGCGAAGGCGGGUC
rnacentral:rRNA from 1 species